ACUGCAUCUGUUGCCGCUGUUGCAGCUGUUGCAGGUGUUGCAGCUGUGGCAGCUGUGUUGCCGGUGUUGCAGGUGUUGCAGGUGUUGCCGCUGUUGCAGGUGUUGCCGGUGUUGCUGCUGUUGCAGGUGUUGCCGGUGUUGCAGGUGUUGCCGGUGUUGCAGCUGUUGCAGCGUUGCAGGUGUUGCAGGUGUUGCCGCUGUUGCAGGUGUUGCCGGUGUUGCUGCUGUUGCAGGUGUUGCCGGUGUUGCAGGUGUUGCCGGUGUUGCAGC